AGUAGGUUAGGGAAGCAGCCGUGUCAUGGUCAAGCUUUCGAACACAAAACCAAUCCUCGUAUCAUCUGUGAGCCUUGGCAAUUCAUAAUCUUUUUACAGUAAAAAUGUGUCUCAGUAAAGAACAGAAGACAACGUCA